ACGCUCGACACCUACGGUAGGCAGCAGUGGGGAAUAUUGCACAAUGGGGGAAACCCUGAUGCAGCGACGCCGCGUGAGCGAAGAAGUAUUUCGGUAUGUAAAGCUCUAUCAGCAGGGAAGAAAAUGACGGUACCUGACUAAGAAGCACCGGCUAAAUACGUGCCGGCAGCCGCGGUAAUCUGAGCGGGCUGGCAAGGC
rnacentral:rRNA from 1 species